CCUACGGGGGGCAGCAGUGGGGCAUUUUGGACAAUGGGCGCAAGCCUGAUCCAGCUAUUCCGCGUGUGGGAUGACGGCCCUCGGGUUGUAAACCACUUUAGUAGAGAACGAAAAGGAGCUAUCGAAUAAAUAGCUCUGCUGACGGUACUCUAAGAAUAAGCACCGGCUAACUACGUGCCAGCAGCCGCGGUAAUACGUAGGGUGCGAGCGUUAAUCGGAAUUACUGGGCGUAAAGGGUGUGCAGGCGGCACGUAAAGUCUGGUGUUAAAGGAAGAGGCUCAACUUCUGUACGGCACUGGAUACUUGCGAGCUAGAAUGCGGUAGAGGUAAAGGGAAUUCCUGGUGUAGCGGUGAAAUGCUUAGAUAUCAGGAGGAACAUCGGUGGCGUAAGCGCUUUACUGGGCCGUAAUUGACGCUGAGGAACGAAAGCCAGGGUAGCAAAUGGGAUUAGAUACCCUGGUAGUC
rnacentral:rRNA from 1 species